rnacentral:lncRNA from 1 species
AAGCACAUAGUUGGGUCUUCUAUGAAUGAUAAACAUCCCUAUCCCAUUUUCCUCUCUUCCUCUCUGCAAAUAACCCAUGGUAGUUGUUUUUCAGCUAGGGGAUUUUAUGUGAGAAAAAUUACAAAUACAUUUCUGACUGGAGGAAGAAAAAGACUUAAAAGAGUGAUAGUAAUUAAUAAUUGGUUUAAGAACUGCAUUGGAAAGUGGGAGAACUCUAAUUAUAGCAACUGGCAUGGAGAACAGGAGAAAAGGUGAAAUCAUAGAUGAAAUUUAAAUGGCAAGAACAAUCUGGGAGGAGAAGGAGAACAUGAGGACCAGGUGCAUCAAAUCACCGAAAUCCCAGAACAGCCUCUCCCUAACCAAACUAUUCCUGUUCCUUCAAUGGAUCCCAGUGCUGCCUAUUUAUUUAAUUAUUUGGUGUUUUGCCUCAUUUGUCAGAAAGCCUCACUCCUGGAAGUUUUUUUUCUAGAAGAUCUCUACUUGGAAAGAGGAGCUGGGUGUAUUUUCAAAUUCACAGAAGAUAAAAAGGGAUUGCCUUCUCAGAACCAAAUACAUACAGUGUGUGCUGAUGGGAUAUUUCAGAUUGGGGCAAGUAAACAGAGGAAGUCCUGAUGYCCAGUACCCUACCCAGCCUGGAAAGGCCUAUUGUCUUCCCGGAUUUCUUCACAGGCCUCCCUGGCCUUACAGCCCUUCCUCCCUGCAAAUAUUUCAAACUGUGCAAGAGCCUGCUCAGCUGGCAGACAGAAGAGAACCAGUGCUGCUCCUCCAGAGCCCUUUGUACUUCUCUGCCCCAGGUUUGCUUCUCUUCCUCACCUCUGCUGCUGUUUAUCCCUUGCUCCUCUUUUCCACCCUUCUUCCUUCCCAGGAAAUCUCCUAAUCCUAACAGGUCUCUGUUUCUAAAGUUUCCCCCUUAAACCAGAGUGUGCAGCCACACACGAGCUUUUCCUUCUGCACCCGCUCCCCCAGCCACUGCUCCUGGACCAGGGACAGAGAAGCACCAGGUGGGAAGGGUGACAGUAAGAACAAGCUCAGGAAGUAAAUGUGUUAGUUCUGCAAUCCUUUUUGGUCCUGAAGAGAUGCGGACGAUAUGCCCUAACGUGGCCCCUCCACGCAGCAGAGACGGGAAACCUGCAGAGCGCAGAUGGAGAGAGGAAAGCAGGAAGAGAGGAAGAGGAAGGCAAAUGGAUGCACACCAAAUGGGAAGAGCUGUGUACGGGAAGGGCAAGGGUAGCCAAGUCCACUCUUGAGUAGCUGAAAAAUAAAGCAGA